GACGAACGCUGGCGGCGUGCUUAACACAUGCAAGUCGAACGGGCCCGCCCCUGUUUUUGGGGGUGGGUUGAGUGGCGAACGGGUGAGUAUCCCGUGAGUAACCUGCCCCCUGCUCCUGGAUAACUGCUUGAAAGGGCGGCUAAUACGGGGUGUGCCGGCUGGUCCGCAUGGGCCUGGUCGGGAUAGUUUCAUCUUCGGGUGUUUCGGUGGGGGAUGGGCUCGCGGCCUAUCAGCUUGUUGGUGGGGGGAUGGCCCACCAAGGCGGUGACGGGUAGCCGGCGUGGGAGGGUGGGCGGCCACGCUGGGACUGAGACACGGCCCAGACUCCGGCGGGAGGCAGCAGGGGGGGGUAGUGCACAAUGGGCGGAAGCCUGAGGCAGCGACGGCGCGUGAGGGAUGGAGGCCGUCGGGUUGUGAACCUCUUUCUCCGGUGGUGAAGGCCCUGUCCGUUGCGGCGGGGUUGACGGUAGCCAGGGAUGAAGCGCCGGCUAACUACGUG
rnacentral:rRNA from 1 species